rnacentral:lncRNA from 1 species
AAACCCAGUGUUAUAAAGGAAGGUGUCAUGAGGAUGACACCACUUGGGGUUUUUAUUCUUUACGGCCCACGCCUGAAGUGGGUUAUUUCAGAGAAAUACUUGUGGGUAGCAGCCUAAAACGUGUGUAAGAAACAAAACCACCGAAAACACUAAAUUUAAAAAAUGCAGAAGACAAGCAUUCCACAUGUCAGCUCAUGAAAGAAGAAGUUUUUAUGUCUCUGGGUGUCGUAAUCAAUUUUUCAUAGAUGUUUGAACACGAAUAUAAAAGUGUAUUUUACGGCUACUGACAUAAACGGAAGCUUCAAGUCUGGAUGAGCAAAAGUAGGCCCGUUUUCCAGCAGUCUGGUAAGGCCAGGGGUUACAUUGCAACGAUUUCUGAUACCAACUUUUGGUCGUGUACCUCCUAGGGAGCCCUGGGGGCAUGGGUGCUGCUGGGGUGGGCCCCGAGCCAACUGAAUCCCCCCCCAGCCGAGGAAGCAGAGGAGAACCGAGGGGGCCGGAGUCUGUCAGGCGGCGGGAAGCCAGCGCAGGCAGCAGGCAGGCGGCCGAUGGAGGGGGGAGUCCCCUCUGAAGUCCAUUGGGAAGCUGUGCUGGCAGUGUCCCAAGAGCCCCUCCUCCUGCCCAGAUGGGGCGGGUGACGCAACGAAUAAACGAGGUAAUACAUGGCAUCUUGGACAGUGCCCUCCACCGGGAAGAGGCUCGGCAAAUGUUCACAGCCGGUUACGCGCGGGCACCUGAGCGCGCUGGCUCCCGCUAGCAGAUGCGUCCUUGGCGGGUGGGAAGCUCCGUCUCUAGGCGAUCGAGCACCGCUGGCAGGCUUGGUCCAGGUCAAGAGAGCCCAGAACCCUCCCCGGCUGUUCAGGGCUUCCCAUGUGCCAGGCACUCCCCACCCGUUAAUAAUGCACAUUGUUAUGUCCAGCUUUGAACGGCUGAGCAGCGCUGCCACGUCCUGGUCCCAAUUUACAGUUGAGAAAUGGAGGGAGGCCCAGAGAUUGGAAGGAGAAGACGCGUGCCACUCACAGAUGGAGAAACUGAGGCACGCCGGAGCAAAGUCACACAGCAACCGGGAAAGCCUGGAUGCAAACUCGGACGUCUGACCUGCGGAUCUUUGC